rnacentral:rRNA from 1 species
GAGGAGAAGCUGACGGAGCACGCCGCGUGAGCGAUGAAGGCUUUCGGGUCGUAAAGCUCUGUUGUCAGGGAAGAACAAGUACCGGAGUUAACUGCCGGUACCUUGACGGUACCUGACCAGAAAGCCACGGCUAACUACGUGCCAGCAGCCGCGGUAAUACGA